rnacentral:tRNA from 1 species
GGCCAUGUGGCGGAAUUGGUAGACGCUAGGGAUUUAAAAUCCCUUGUCCAUUUGGACGUGGGAGUUCAAGUCUCCCCGUGGCUA